ACAGGAUCUCACUCUGUCACCCAGGCUGGAGUGCAAUGGCGCAAUCUUGGUGCACUACAACUUCUACCACCCAGGCUCAAGCAAUCCUCCCACCUCACCCUCCCAACUAGCUGGGACCACAGAUAAGGAAACUGAGACCAAAAGGGAGUACAGGAAGGGAGUCUUCAGAACUCCUGGGCUUCAGGCAGAAAACUAAUAGCCUGUUUUCAUGAGGAUACCCAGAUUGAAACCAAGCUGAAAAGAGCUAGUUGUCAUCACUUCAUACAGACUCCCAUCCCGGCUGGUGUGCACAGUCUCUGACCAGACCUAUCAGGCUAUGGAGAUUCGGGAAUCCAUUUCCAUUGUGUAAAAUGUGACAACACUCACAGCAGCACAGUAUUUUAUGAGACGCAUUCUGAUUGUUUCCUUUACGCUGACUUUCUAGUUUUGUUUUGUUUUCUUGUUUUUGUUUUGAUACAGGGUCUCACUGUGUCAUCCAAGCUAGAGUUCAGUGGUGUGAUCACGGCUCACUGCAGCCUUCACCUCCCUGGGAUCAAGCGAUCCUCCCAUCUCAGCCUCCUAAGUAGCUGGGCCUAGAGGCUUGUGCUAUCAUGUCCUGCUAAUUUUGUAUUUUUUAUAGAGAUAGGGUUUCGCCGUGUUGUUCAGGCUGGUCUAGAAUUUCUAGGCUCAAGGGAUCUGUCUGCCUUGGCCUCCCAAAGUGCUGGGAUGACAGGCUUGAGCCAUGGCACCUGGCUGACUUUCUAGUUCUUAAUUGUCAACCUUCUUUAUUCUCCUCCUGAUUUUGUAGUAAUUUCUGAUGUCACUGAAGCUGAAAGCUUAUCUUGUGAUCAAUGAUUCCUUGUUUAAAUAGGAAUCCAGAUUUAUAUGAGCUAGUACUCAAUAUUCAGUAAGAUGGCAUAUUUUAAUUAUCUUAUUUUUGAUCAUUACAAAGUUAUGAAACCUUAUAUGCAGAUGAACUAUAUUAAAAACUUGUUUAAAGAGCUUCCCUUUUGGCUUAAACUGAAAUAAAGUUUCCUUUAAAGUUCUAA